UACGUAGGGUGCAAGCGUUAAUCGGAAUUACUGGGCGUAAAGCGUGCGCAGGCGGUUUUGUAAGACAGAGGUGAAAUCCCCGGGCUCAGCCUGGGAAUGGCAUUUGGGACUGCAAGGCUGGAGUGUGGCAGAGGAGACUGGAAUUCCUGGUGUAGCAGUGAAAUGCGUAGAUAUCAGGAGGAAUACCGAUGGCGAAGGCAGGUCUCUGGGCUGACACUGACGCUCAUGCACGAAAGCGUGGGGAGCAAACAGG
rnacentral:rRNA from 1 species